UACGGGGGGAGCUAGCGUUAUUCGGAAUCAUUGGGCGUAAAGGGCGCGUAGGCGGUCUUUUAAGUCAGAUGUGAAAGCCCUCGGCUUAACCGAGGAAGUGCAUUUGAUACUAAGAGACUUGAGUAUGGGAGAGGGAAGCGGAAUUCCUGGUGUAGCGGUGAAAUGCGUAGAUAUCAGGAGGAACACCGGUGGCGAAGGAGGCUUCCUGGACCAAUACUGACGAUGAGGCGCGAAGGCGUGGGGAGCAAACAGG
rnacentral:rRNA from 1 species